UUUUAGACGAACUCCUCGCUCGUGGUUUCUCCUUCCUUUUUUACCUUUAGUUAUUUCUAAUUCAGCUAAAGGUUAGAACGUCAAAGAGAUUCUGACAGAAGUUUCAUUUCUUAUGAGCACAUUAUGAUUUUGACAGAAGUUUCACCUUUGCAUGAGUAUUAUAUGAAUGUCAAUUACUUCUCCUUUUGAGUGUAUGAAAUUAUAGAAAAUAUGGAAAACAAUUAUAUGCUUGCAUUGUAAUUAUGCAAUAAUCUUUAUUAGAG